CUACGGGUUGUAGCAGUGAGGAAUAUUGCACAAUGGGGGGAACCCUGAUGCAGCAACGCCGCGUGGAGGAUGACGCAUUUCGGUGUGUAAACUCCUUUUAUAUGUCAAGAAAAUGACGGUAGCAUAUGAAUAAGCACCGGCUAACUCCGUGCCAGCAGCCGCGGUAAUACGGAGGGUGCAAGCGUUACUCGGAAUCACUGGGCGUAAAGGACGCGUAGGCGGGUUGGAAAGUCAGGUGUGAAAUCCUACAGCUUAACUGUAGAACUGCACUUGAAACUUCUAAUCUAGAGUAUGGGAGGGGGAGAUGGAAUUAGUGGUGUAGGGGUAAAAUCCGUAGAUAUCACUAGGAAUACCUAAAGCGAAGGCGAUCUCCUGGAACAGUACUGACGCUAAGGCGUGAAUGCGUGGGGAGCAAACAGGAUUAGAUACCCCUGUAGUC
rnacentral:rRNA from 1 species